GUGGGUAUAGCUCAGGUGGUAGAGCACUGGAUUGUGGCUCCAGUUGUCGCGGGUUCGAGUCCCGUUACUCACCCUA
rnacentral:tRNA from 1 species